rnacentral:rRNA from 1 species
UGCUUUACACAUGCAAGUCGAACGGCAGCAUGACCUAGCUUGCUAGGUUGAUGGCGAGUGGCGAACGGGUGAGUAAUGCAUCGGAACGUAUCCAAUAAUGGGGGAUAACGCAUCGAAAGGUGUGCUAAUACCGCAUACGCCCUGAGGGGGAAAGUGGGGGACCGUAAGGCCUCACGUUAAUGGAGCGGCCGAUGUCUGAUUAGCUAGUAGGUGAGGUAAAGGCUCACCUAGGCGACGAUCCGUAGCUGGUCUGAGAGGACGACCAGCCACACUGGAACUGAGACACGGUCCAGACUCCUACGGGAGGCAGCAGUGGGGAAUUUUGGACAAUGGGCGAAAGCCUGAUCCUGCCAUACCGCGUGAGUGAAGAAGGCCUUCGGGUUGUAAAGCUC